AUGCAACUUCGUGGUGAUUUGGGCCGGCCGGCUUGCAGCCACGUUAAACAAGUCGCUAAAAAAGGCCGGGUUGAAGAACCC
rnacentral:ncRNA from 2 species